UAAUGGAGGGGGGAGGAGGGAGGGAGAGAAGGGGAUAGUGAGGGAGGGGAGAGGGUGAAGGAGAGAGGAGGGAGCGGUAGAGAGAGAGGAGCGAGAAUGUGGGAGAGAGCAAAGGAGGGAGAGAGAGGGGGAGGGGGCGAAAGAUGGGGGAUGGCUAAGAGAAGAGGGGGAUAAAGAGGAGGAAGAGAGAGAUAGGAAGGCAAAGGGAGGGAGAGAGAGAGGGAGAGGAUUGAUUAGAGAAUAGAGAGAGUGAGAGACAUGUCUGUCUAUCUGUCGGUCUAAGUCCUUCACCAGAAUACCCGUUGCAGCUUUAUCAUCAUCCCUUCCCAUUGACUGCAAUGUAUUUCACAUAAGCAUCAAACGCAUACACCUACACACACACAACACACACAUGCAAGCUCAUUCGCAUGAACACACACACAUACACUACCUUUGUAACUAUGAAAGCCUCUCACAGUCUGUUGUGUGCUGUGGGACGACUAAUAGGUAUGAGAGGUGUGCUUCUCCUCAUCCUCUGUAUCCUCUAGUAGGUGCUGAGCCAGGCUAAGGAGCUGAGAGUCACGAUGAAGAAGUACCAGGCCCAGCUCUCCCUGCCUGCUUUCCGGCCUCACACAAAGGACACCCGGCCAGCCCUAUAUGGCCACUGUCCCAUGGCCCUCCUCUACCCCAGGGCCUGCAACUAAAGGACACGGACGGCCCACUGGUGCUCAUCAACAGAACCGAGCUGGAGAAAGGCUGUGAGGACGACGACACAGUCAUGAUGGACUGGCUUCUGCAGAUAAUCCAUCAAAGGCUGGGGUCUGGGGUCUGGGGUGGGCUACCGCCCCUCUGGUCCCUGCCUCGUCCCCACCGGCUUGUUUGAUGAGCAGGGUGGGGUGGUAGCCAGCCUCCGUCACCUCCACACUGACCAGAGGGUUUGGCCUGUCGUAUGGCGAACGCUACCGGUAAGCCCUGGUUCAUGUUCUGUUCCCAGCGUGAAUCUCCUCUAUCGUUCCCCUUUCCCCACUUCCAGCCUCUUAGUCGGAGCUCUUUGCUUCUGAAUCAUCAUAUGGACCAGUGACAGUCGUCUCCCCAUCACACCUGCUGCACUAAGAGCACAGACACUGUUUCUAUCUGAUAACAACC
rnacentral:lncRNA from 8 species